GCAGUCGAGCGAGACCUUCGGGUCUAGCGGCGGACGGGUGAGUAACGCGUGGGAACGUGCCCUUUGCUACGGAAUAGUCCCGGGAAACUGGGUUUAAUACCGUAUGUGCCCUUCGGGGGAAAGAUUUAUCGGCAAAGGAUCGGCCCGCGUUGGAUUAGGUAGUUGGUGGGGUAAUGGCCUACCAAGCCGACGAUCCAUAGCUGGUUUGAGAGGAUGAUCAGCCACACUGGGACUGAGACACGGCCCAGACUCCUACGGGAGGCAGCAGUGGGGAAUCUUAGACAAUGGGGGCAACCCUGAUCUAACCGUGCCGCGUGAGUGAUGAAGGCCUUACGGUUGUAAAGCUCUUUCAGCUGGGAAGAUAAUGACGG
rnacentral:rRNA from 1 species